CUAUCUUCAAGCACAGCUUGGUUGUUGAGCCCAAUUGUCCUCUAAUGGACAGGCUUGAAAUGCAGCGACGAUGCCAUGUUUGGUGCCCGAGUGUAUGGGGCUUUGUCACACACUUUUGUGGCCCAGCUGGCGUUUCUGUCAAAUUAAAACUAAG
rnacentral:misc_RNA from 1 species